rnacentral:rRNA from 1 species
AUUGAACGCUGGCGGCAGGCCUAACACAUGCAAGUCGAGCGGAUGAAGGGAGCUUGCUCCUGGAUUCAGCGGCGGACGGGUGAGUAAUGCCUAGGAAUCUGCCUGGUAGUGGGGGAUAACGUCCGGAAACGGGCGCUAAUACCGCAUACGUCCUGAGGGAGAAAGUGGGGGAUCUUCGGACCUCACGCUAUCAGAUGAGCCUAGGUCGGAUUAGCUAGUUGGUGGGGUAAAGGCCUACCAAGGCGACGAUCCGUAACUGGUCUGAGAGGAUGAUCAGUCACACUGGACCUGAGACCCGGUCAGACUCCUACGGGAGGCAGCAGUGGGGAAUAUUGGACAAUGGGCGAAAGCCUGAUCCAGCCAUGCCGCGUGUGUGAAGAAGGUCUUCGGAUUGUAAAGCACUUUAAGUUGGGAGGAAGGGCAGUAAGUUAAUACCUUGCUGUUUUGACGUUACCAACAGAAUAAGCACCGGCUAACUUCGUG